CCCAAGCUGCCUCUCCCUGGAAACUGCUGUGGGCCUUCUCUUCUUUUUCUUGGUUUCAGCAGCACUGACAGAAGAAGGGGUUUAGUUAGGCAUGGAACUAUACUCGGGCUUCACUUGAAAGCAGUUUCCAGAUCUCUUCCUAAAUUCAUUCCUUCCCUCCAUUUACCUUGUCUGGUUUACCACGAUGCUGGCCACUGCUCCCAGGGGUCAAGAUUGGAGCACCUAAGAGACUCAAGGACAGAGGUGACUCUGUGGAAGUUAGGGUGGCACAUUCAUUUCCACGAACUGUUCCUUGGGACAACAGCAACAAAAAGGCAUGGAGGAAGUAAUUACAGCUGGAGCCACAGAUCUUGCACAUGGCAGCAGGAGUUGUUUUGCCUGUUGGAGAUUAAGAGUACCAGAGAUGUCUCCAAGAGCACCAGCAACCCCAGAGAUCUGGAUCUGAAGUGGAUAUGUUCAGAGGCGUCCUGGCCCACCCCACCCACCACCCCAGAGAAGAUGCUGCUGCACUCAGAAGAUGCCAGAGCUAGGCGCCACCCAUACUGCAAGUCUGGAAGCUCCGCAAGGACCCAGCAAGUAUUUCAGAGGCUGCCAAGUUGCUUUCCUGUUUCCUCUUCCUCGGGGCUGAUUGCAUCCCAUGGUGUGCCAAGGUUUUGA
rnacentral:lncRNA from 1 species